rnacentral:lncRNA from 1 species
CCAUGCCGAGUACCAGUAUGGAGGUAAUCCAAUCCACGAGCAGCACCAAUGCAAAUGCUGACCCUUUGCUACCGUCAGUAUGAUUUUGAGAGAUGAUCGGCAAGGGUCAAUUACUCCAGUACUCGUAAACAAGGAAUCAUUUCUGAGCGUUCAUCACAAAGCCUAUAAGACUGAGAGAUGUGAGUCCGUAGGUUGGAAAGCACUCUCGAUUCUGUCCAAAUUCAUCUGCCCUUGCCUAGACUUCAAAUUCAACUCUUAUGGCGACACUGGUUUCCCCACCAUCAAUGAGUGCUUUGUAUACCUUUCCAAAUCCACCACGUUCCAAACAGCCAUUCAUCAUCAAAAUUAUUGGUAAACUGAUAGGGAUCUCAGCAAGUGAGAGCGACGAACAUAACCUCUCAUAUGGUAAAUGAUGAGAGAUCUUUUUCCUCAACUUUUCACGCAAAAGACGUAACUUGUAUAAACAUGAUAGUCACCACGUGAGUAGAACUACCAACACCAGUGCAAUGACAUUUCCACCCGAAGAUAAACCACUAACUUCCGCGGAUUUGGGUUUACCAGAUCGUCGAAGCAUUGUUACCAGCGGGUUUACUGGGUUCACGCCUGCAAGAUUUUUGUCAGGGUUGCUCAAAUUGGUAUGAAUACCUCCAACCUUCAGAAUGCAUUCAAUUUGUUCAGGCCAAUCAUUAGUUGUAAUCUUGUGAGUGCAUAACGCUAUGAGCAGGUCACGCUUGCCCCCUCCAUCCUAUCCCGCCAUACUCACCACAUAGUCCCUAUAAAUGCAACCCCGUUUCGACUGCUCCAUUCAAAAUGUCAGCUUUAAGCCUCAGCGACCUUUCAAUUGCAAAGUACUAACCAAGUGUUCCAUUCUCUUUAUUUCAUAUUCGAGUUACAAAAGGGAACCUCAUAAGGUACCUGAAUCCCAAAUCGACUGGUAAUUUCCAUGUAAAAAUUGAAAGGUCUUGUUCGCUUUGCUUACGGGAACAAUUGACCAAGACGUUUGGAAACUUUCUGCGGAGCUGGUAUGUAUUGGGGCGGUAUAUUUGGUAUGUGAUCCGAUGGUGUAGUAGCGGCAAGACACUUGAUUUACUAGCAAAUUAAUUGGAGUCCCCACAGACCACUCUCGGAACAUACCUGUAUCUUGUAGGGACGAAAUGGAGCUCCACCAACAUUUAACCGAUAUGCCUCUCCAGUGCCAAUGUUCUUAUCAAUGGAGAAUUGGUGCUUCUUGCCGACAAAAUGUGGCGCCUUAUGCAUUCUGGAGUAUGAUAUAGUCAGUGGCAAUAGAAAUGGACUCAAUUCCAUUGACGAAGCAUAAAACCUCAUCCGAAGAACUGCCUGUGAUGGGUGAAAGAUAUGAUUAACCCGCUGGUUUUCUUCAAACAUUUCGCACAAUCUUUGAAAAAGAUGGUAACCCUUAAAAGCAUCCGAAGUGGGGCAGCACUGAGUUGCUUAAGGGUGUAUAAGGACCGGCUUUUACCGUAAAAAAAAAGGCCUUGGACCUUUUGAAACCCCGGUAAGAAGUCGGAUAGAAUAGAAGUGCAGGCGGAUAAAUUUUAGGCCUGGACUGACUUGGAAUGUGAGGUGAAAUUGGCUCCGGGAUAUUCGGGCUUGUCUUGUAAGGACUGGAUAAGGAGAGAGGAGUCGGUCAACGGCCUAGUGAGCUUAUCAAUUUUCUUUGGACCAUGUGAAGUGGAUGUUUUGAACCGCUAUCCCCCGAUCCAUCGCCGGCCAUCUGCUGCAGUUGGUUUCAGAGAAGCAAGUUAAACUGCAAUGUUAUCUAAGUGGGUAAAUAAAGAGCACGGUGACAGGAAUGAUAAGAUUGUGGAGGAAGAAGUUAGAGAGAGGUUAUAAUUGAGAUGUGGACAAAGGGACUGUUUCUCGUGAAAAACAAAAGGGGGGGCCCAACUGAAAAAACAGGGAGGUUUUUCCUUUAGGCAAUAAUUAGGGAGAGGAAGAGAAGGAGAAUUAAUUCCCAAUAUAUGCAGGAAAUGGCUGAUGCAUUGUCCUUUAGGAAAAAGACAGAGCAGGAGGGAGAAAUCCCAUGUUUAUUUUAAGAUAUUAUAAAGGAUGGAAUGGAUCAAAAUGCCCCAACGUGAUCAGAAAAUUACAAACAAUUGUGAAAACUAUGACCUUUCAAUCUCGAGAUGAAAACAAUAAGUUUUCUAAUCGAGCCUUUUACACUGUUUCAAAAUCGCGCAAUUCAUACGGUCUGAAACACAAAUAAAGUUUUGGAAAUUCAUAGUCUUCGUCAACCAAAAAAGCAAACGACAAACAGGGAUCUACCAAAAACUUUUUACGGCUCAUCUUUAUCAUCAUCUACUGCUGGCUUCCAUGUGGUUUGAUUUGAAAAAACAUUUCUACAAACAGGUGGCGUCCGUGACGCGCUUUACGAGAAAAAACCCUCCUUUUUUACCGAUCCGAUCUAAACUCGACAAAUUGAACAUGAAUUUGUUUCGUGUGACCGUCAUAAGUCACCCUCUCAGUGAAUGGUGGCGUACGCGAAUGGAAAGAGAGGGAAGGAGAGAGAAACCAGUGAUUGGUGCAAAGAAGUAAUAUGAGUGCAUUAGGACUUGUUUGGAACAUGGAGAAAAAAGUUGAAACGAGGAGAGGCGGGUAUUUUUAUAAGAGAAAUGAUGAAAAAGACAAUCCUCUGGACUGUGUUGAAUCGAAGAUUGGUGGAUGAAACAAAACUUAAACGAAACAAAAAUUUUACGAAUUCAAAGCUUCAGAUUAGGCUCCGUUUAGCACCAGCUUUUUAUGUUGUUUUUUGUCUUUUUUAUUUAAAUAGCAAAAAAAAUCAAUUGACUUUUUAUUUUCUGUUUUUUAUUUUUUACUUAGUUUUAGCUAAAGUUAAAGCCACAAAAGUAAAAAAAAAAUUAAAAAAAUCUAGCAUUUUAAUACACAAAUUAAAAAAACUUAACUUUAAGCAUUACCAAAACAUAGCCUUAAUCAUUUACUUAUAUACAACCUUAAAGAACCAAGAGAAUCAAGCGUCCAUAAAAAAAAUUGCAGGCAUAAAUUUUUAUAUGUUUAUUUAAAUUGGAGGAUACGACAGAACCAAAACCUUUCUGGGAAGAUAAUAAAAAAUCUGAUACAGAAAUAUCAAGAAAAUAUGAACAAUAUGCUAGGGGUCGGGGUGUUCAUGGUCCGAAUGAUGGUUCCAUAAGAAUUCAGAACCAAUUCAUUCUGAACAGUUCUGAAAAAAUGAGAAUAGAAACCUAACCAUUACAAAGUAUAGGAAGCCAAACCAAAAUCAAUCGGCCUUAUCAGUUGGUUUUGGUCAAUUCAUAACAUUCCAAAUAUUUUUAUAAAAUAUAAAAAAUUGUAAACAAAGUUAUUCAUUUAAAUAACCCAUUACUUAAUUAAUAUUUCCAAGUCAUGAACCAAAUUAGUACAAAUAGUUAUAAAUCAAAUGAUUUGAAAUCACCAACUCUAAUAUAGCAAUUAUAAUUGAUAAAAGUUUAGAAUUCAUAAUGAAUAACAACAAAAAAGGAAUAAACGAAGAACUGAAAAAGAAUUCAUAAAUGGAACAAAAGAAAAUCAACAAAUGAUAAAAUCUUGGUUAAGAAGAAGGUGUAAGGGGUUUGAUGGAAGGGAUGAUAAUUCUAAUAUCUAUGGAAGUGAAAAUAUUUUUGUUUGGGGGAAAAGUCCGAGUAAUCACGCACAAAUGUAAAUUACGCCGUUAGUGUUAAGUUUUAUAUAAAUAUGUAUGUCUAUAUAAUAACGGUUCUGGUUCGGUCGAACCACGGUUUGAAAAAAAACCCGAUAACCGAACAAAUAAUUUACGGUUCUGAAUUUUUAAAACAGAACCUACCAUUAAACCAUAAAACCAAUCCAAAAGCACGAUUCGGUUCGGUUCGAUCCAGUUCACGCGGUUUUUGGAUUUUUUUGAAACACCCCUAACAUAGCCUACAUCUUUUAUGGGGUCCAAACUUGCAAUUCGAAAAGCACGAUGGACAAAGACAACCCGAAAUCAAACACCAAACCACAAGUCCCCGAUAGCAAAACGAAUCAGAAUACCGGUUUUUCAUAGCCAUUCCUCUCGGAUCGAAUAUGAACAUUUAAAUAGAUCAACAAAAAAGAGCUUGGCUAUGCAACUACAAUUCCAAGCAGCACAAUUUUACAACUGCUUCUCGUAUUUCUUUUUAGUGUUGCAACAAUUUCGACUUUCAACAAGUAUUCUCAACUCACCAGAUGAUGCAUGUUCUGUCAGUAUCAAUUCAAAUGAUAAUAUUUUUUUCUAGUUUCCACAAUUAACUCCAUUACUAGCAUUAUCAUAGAUAAAUCUAUCUGUCGGAGAGAGAAAAACAAUAAGAAUAUUCUUGUUCAGAGUCUGACUAAAUUGUAAUUUGCUUAUGAAACAAAAGUUACAAAACCUUCCUGUACGCACGAGGCAGCUGCAUGAUUCCUCCGGGUGAUCACCAGGGGCACAAAGCUCGAAUUAUCUCCUGCCUCAUUGCAGCUUCAUGCACGCUGCAAAAUCUUCACCACACUAUCCAUUGAUGGCCGCUCAACCUCCUCGUAAGCAGCACAAUUCUGCAAUUACGGACACUGCCCCUCAAAGAUUAGGCCUAUUUCCCCCUAUCAGAUACGGAUCAAUUACCCAUUUCAAUGGUUUUCUUGAAUGCAGCUCUUGAGAAGUGGCACCAGAUUCUUCUGAUCCCUUUGUUAGAUUAAAUACACAAUGGCUCUCUGCCGCAAAUUACUUGCCAACAACAACCACACCGAAUGAGUACACAUCAAUUUUGAGUUAGGCGACCAACAGUAGUACUCGGGAUCCAUGUACCCGAGAGUCUCUUGGCAACUGUGGUGAACAUAGUUUUCUUGUAAUGUUGUUAGGUCUAAAUCGGACACCUUCAAAACCUGAAAGUUUGGAAACCACUAGCUUCAUUUCGCAGAAUACUGGUCGGACUUCAAGUCCCCAUGAAUCAUUGGCUCCUUGGAAUAGUAUGAAGGUAUUAUUAGUGCUUGCGCAACACCGAUGCAGAAAAUCUAAAGCCCUCUUUUUCACUGAAGAGGAUCCUUUGCCCGUUCCAUAGAGGUGAUUACUAAGGUUCCCGUCAACCAGUAUCAUACAUCGCUAAAUUGUUUCGUUGGAUCAUUGGCAGUAUCCGAUGAAAGAAACCAUAUGAGAUUGAACGAAGCUGUGAGCGCAUCUCAACCCUUAAUAAACGUUCUCUGACUUUUGGUGCACCUUUCAUAGCAACCUGAGUUUUUCCGUUGUCAAUGUAGCUCUGUACAUCUCCCCAAACCAGGCCACGCGUACUUGAUAACAAGAUUGCGGGUGAAGUUGUUGGUAUCAGCUCUGACUUCAGUAAUGGGAAACGCCGGCAGGAAUUAAUGGCAGAGUUGAGACCUGCACGGACUGUCUGGCAAUACGGCGAAGGUUUGCAGGGGAUGAGCUUCUCUGGUGAAACCACUGUAAGUUUCGGCUUGGGUUGUUGCUGGAUCUACUCCACCACCAUGAUAUCCACUGCCUAGAAUCGUUGGCCUUUGGUCUUUCUCCUCCGAGAUCCAUACCUUGGUCAUUCUCUGAACCAUUUGGUAAGGUUUCUUCUUGGCUUUUUCCUUGGGCAUAUCAGGAAAACGUUCUUGCACAGAUCAGGAGAGCCUGUUUCGUUGCUCCAGACUUGCUCAGCACCAUCGAGAUUGGAAACUGAUCAAUUAUCUGCUCAUCAUUGGUCCCUCUAAUAUCGACCACCUCUUACUCAUGUUCCUUCUCCUCCUCUUCGCUCCCCACCGAAAGACUGUCAAUGGCAUGUAACACCAUACUAACAUUAACAUCCACCUCCUGAUCCUUCCCUUCUGUUUCAGUAGAAGAUAUGCAACUUCGUCCUGGUGAAGCCAAAGCGAACCUCAGCUCUGCAUGACAUCUGACACCCUCCUUGGCCGUUCCAUUUGGAUGAUGUGCAAGAUGUUAUCAACCUUCUGCGAAGACUUCAGGCAUGAGCAAGAUUUCCCCUUGAUACUGGGUCGUGAUCUGAUCCAAGUCUCCCUCUUUGAUGCAGCGUUGGGCCCAAAGCGCAAGCUCCGUUCCUCCCUUCAAAUCUUUUAUCCACUGCAGGCCUUCCCACAGCACUUCAAACAAACCACUCCCAGGCGUACCAUCAAAACUUCCUGGUCCGUCUGAUGCUUCACAAAAUAUUCCACAUCCAAAUACCCAUGUGGCCUUUAACUCCAUGAUUGAAUAGGCUGACUGGUUUGUGUCAUUGCGCACUCAACUUGGACAACCCGAAUCUGAAAUCUUAACUACCCAUUUUUUGUCCAACGAAUGUUUGAGGUCUUCACAAUCACGGUGUAUGACUCUGUGCUGGGCACCAGUGCGAAGGUGCUCCAACACAACGUGCAGCUCCAAUACAUUGUUGAGCGUUUGCUCCAAACAAAGGAGAAAUGCUACCAAUGCCAUCCUACUAAUUUUGUGGAGAUGAUCGGCUAUGGUCCCCUUGGACCAUAUAUUCCGUAAACAAGGAUCAUCUACUGCAACUCGUUGCAAUAGCCAUUUAGAGUACGAGAUGGGGUGUGCCGAGAUUUGGGAAAUGCAUCUUUGAUCUCAGUCCAAAGAACUCUUGUGCCCUUGUCUUGGACAUUGCUUCAUGCGCCUGACAACAGAAGGUGGCUCCUUCGUCGAUAAGCCCCUUGUACACCCCCUUACCAAAUGGCCACCAUCCCCAAUAACCAAUUCAUCAUCAAAGUUUAUUGUAGCCAUUUGUAAUCUCAAAAGUGGAAAAACGGCGUGCCUUCUUCCUCUGACCGUCGAUGAUACAGAAGGCCUCUUCUCACCCCCAUUCUCUAUCCAACCCGUAAAUUUGUAACCAUAAUGUUCAGUAUGUGAUCAAAAUUAUCAUACCACUUACAAUCGUAUUCCCCGUUCCACACACCCCAAUAGUACUUCAGAAGCUUUGGGGUAUAGCUGUAGGACGUGUGCCAGUGGCUGGGGUUUUGAAACACAAGAUGUUGUCAGGGUUGCUCAACUUGAAGAGCCUCUACUCUACCCAUUUAUGACUGCACCAUUAUAUAUUUAGCCCUUGACUCGUAGUACUGAGUUGCGAGCUCAUGAACAAGUCGCACUGCCGUCUAUUCGAUGCUUCAAUCAAUUUACCACAUAGUCCCUAUACACUGCAACCACAUUUCCAGCACUCCAUUCGAUGAGAUCUCAUGCGCCUCAUCGGUCUUUGUUUUUGAAAUACUAACUCCCUUGGUGGACACUCUCUUUCACCCGUAAUCAAUUCACAUAAAGAGCCUAAUGAGGUACCUGAAAUCCCAAAUCACAGGGAUAUCCAUGUGAGGUUGCACAUCUUGUUUUUGUUUCUUGUUUGGAUCCAUUGCCCAAAGCUGAUUGUAAACUUUCUGUGGCGCUGUGUAAUGUCGGGAUGGUUUGUGUACUUGAUUGGAAUCGAUGUAGUGACUGGUAAAACACUCCCAAUUCUAACCAAUUAAUCAGAAUCCCCAAACACUGUCGAAACAUUCCCCAAUCCUCUACUGGUUAAAAUAAGAGCUUCCCCCAACCUUUUAAGCGCUGAACCAACAACAAGUGCGAGUAGUUUAUCAAUAUGGAACUGUGUUUCUUCUGGCCAACAACACAAGGCCCCAAAUCACCGUCAGGGGUGUAAUAAGAACCGGUUGGCAUAAAAUAAUUUCUAUCCCCAUGACAAAGCAUGACACCCUAUUUGAAGCACUGCUUCUGGAGUGAACGCAAUGCGGAGCGGCUUGGUUUUCUGCUACAUUCAUACAGAAUUCUUUAGAAAGAUUUCAAGCCCGAACUUCUGAAGUAAGGGAAGGAAACUAAAUUGCUGAGACGGUAUAAGCUCCACCUUUACCCUAAUAGUCUCAGCCCUUCAAAACUGGUUAAAAGCGGGAUAAUAAAGUGCAAGUGGUUAACUUUUGGCCCGGACCGACAAGGACUGAUAGAAAAUGGAGAAUAAGAAAUCCGGCAAGUUCAUGUAAGGGGACAGUCAAGCAAAAAAGGAUCGAAAAGAUUCUUUUGAGCUAAUCAUCAAUUUGCCAUUUUGAUCGUCGUGUUGAAGUAAAUUGUGAUCCGAUAUCUCCAAUCCCUCCGUCCUCUAAUAAAUUGAGUUUCCUCCAGUGCCCGCAGUUGAACAAGCAAUGUACUCUACCGGGUUAAUAACUAUUAGGUGAGCUGCCAGAAUCGGUGAGAAUAAAUGAUGAAGGAAGACGAGGAGGGAGAUUAUGUGAGAGUGGACAAAGAGAACAUGUUUCUUGUAAUCUAACUGAAAACAGGAGUUUUUCCUUUAGGCGAUACCUAGAGAAACAGAAAAAAGAAAAAGAAAAAGGAAGAGAAGGAGAAUAAUCACAAUAUAUUCAGCGAUGGCUUAUGUUUGUUCCUUUAGGAAAAGUAAAAAGACAAGAUGAGGGAGAUCCCAGGUAAAUUUCAAGUUAAUUCCUAGGGUGUAAAUUAUAAUAAGUAUCUUGAGAUUGAAAAGGGCAUAGUUUUUACAUUUUGUGCAUUUCUGCAUCAAGGUUUGGCUUUGGGCAUUUGACCCAUUCAUCCUCUUUAUAAUAUCUAAUAAUAAUAUUAUUAUAAUAGUAUCUUGAGACUGGACUACAUGGAGAGCAGGACCCAAAUCUGUAAUACUAAUAUUCAUGGUUCUAAGAAUUGGAUUAAUCCGAACCAUUGGUAAAUAUGGGAAACACCCCAGAAACAAGGGUCUGGUUUCUGGUUCCUUUUGACACAAAACCCAGUUAAUCCAUUUUCCACCACUAACGACCCCUAAUCCAUCACCACCUCCACCAAGUUUUUUUCUCACCAUAUCACCAGCCAUUGCUCCACCCUCCGCAGUAGCCGUCACCCCUUCCUCAAUCUCCCCUGCUGGCGACAACGCCCUCUUCCACAUUACCCGAUCACCUAAGCUCCUCCCCUCCUUCCUAGACACACCGCACAGCCCUCACCCCAGCCUCUCCAUAGUCGCCGCCAUACCCACCAUUUUAAUAUUUUUUGAUAAUACCCAUUACUCACCAUUGUUCCACUAAAAUAUCUAAUGCUCAUUUGGUUGGGGAAAAUUACGCAGAUUUUCCUAUAAGUCCAAAUUAUGUGGGAGUUGCGAAAAAUAGCGAAAAACCACUACACAAAUUUUGAUAACGUAGUUCGCCAAUUGUGCCACGUCCUCCGGACCUGCUGCAGCAUCCGUUUUAACUAAGGGAGAAAAAAUACAAUUGUUUACAACACUUACAACUCAACACCCACUCUUAAGCUUUCCUUAAACUCUCUCUAACUCUCUGCAAUUGAUGGUCUUACAUGAGGGCUAAGGGUUUAUAUAGGCUUCAAAACCAUGGUUUGGUGAAACUUAUGUAAAGAAAAAAUUGGCAAUGGUUAAGGCACCUCCAUUGACAAUUGGCCUAAGUUAGUCACCUACAUUUUUGCCCCCAAAAAUGGUUGUUGGCCAAAUUUUUUGACUAGCCAAUUUUCUUGACAAUCUCCCACUUGAAGACUGAUUUCAAUCUGUCUUCACACUUGCUCUAUAUGCAGGCAGAGCUCUCCGUCCUUGUUACUCUUAGCAAGCGCAACUGCAGUGGAACAUACUUCAGUUUGUCGUAGCCACCGUCUUUGUCAACAUAUCUGCUGGAUCUUUUGCUUCCUGAUCUUCUAUCUUCUCAUUAUUACACCUCAUCUUCCAAUAUAUCUGAUGAGUAUAACGAAGUCAAUAAUGCCUUGGUUCUGUAAUGAAUGCUGAAUUCGUCGCCAAGUGUAUCGUCACUCUGACUAUCACUGUGCAAAACAUCUUCUUCUGUUUGAAUCCCAACUCAGUUAACAAACAAACUUUGAAAGUCCAUAUCAUCUCUUACUAAUGCUUCAGUUUAACUGCCUACAUCUACCAGCCUCUGUAGUGGAUAAGUAACAAUCUUUUGUAAACUGCGACCUCAACUAACAGUUUGUAAGUACCGAACAGUGAAUAUAUAACCGGUGGUCUUCGUUCGGUGUCGACUUCACCUCCAAGUCUCGUCUACAUAGCCUUGUAACUUUUAACUCAACCCUUACCAAAGUACAAACAACUUCUCUGUGGAUGCCUUGUAGAGACUUCAAAUUCACUUUACAAAAAAUACACAUACACAACAUCUUCCCAAUGAGCUUUUCCUGGAUUUGACAUAAACCUCCAACCUGCUAACCACUUCCCACUGCAUGUGCAAUAUCUGGUCGCGUACAGACCAUUGCGUACAUCCAACUUCCAUGGCUGAGGCGUAAGGAACCUUAGCCAUAAUCUUUCUCUUCUCUGUCUGAGGGGACUGAUCCUUGGAUGAAGCGAAGUGACUUUGCCAAGGUGUGCUGACUGCUGGCGUCGCCCAUGUUGAAUCUCUGUAAAAACACGUUUGAAUGUACUCUGCCUGAGUAAACUGUAAAAUCCGCCUCUCUGUUUAUCUCUUGUGAUUUGCAUUCCAAGAAUCUUCUUUGCUGGACCCAAGUCUUUUGCAUGUCAAACUCCUUUGACAAUUGCUGCUUCAUUCAAAAACCUUCUGAUAUCCCAUAUCUGAACCUGCGACUUAACCAUUCCAUAACAUAAGGAAGUAAAAUGAAUAUAAUUAGACCCUGUAUCUCGUGAAGUAGCCAACAAACUUUGUGUUCGCGUUGCACUUUUGAAACUUCCUUGUGCUGAAGCCCGUCCACCCUUUUUGUACGCAUGUCUUGGGGCUUGUUUCAGGCCAUACAAACUCCUCUUAAAUUCUGCCACCAUGUUUUCCCUUCCUUUCUUUCUUAGAAACCUUCUGGGCUGGUGCUGUAUAUCUCCUCAUCUAAGUCCCGUACAGAAAUGCAGUCUUUACGUCUAAACUGUUCAAGAUAAAGAUCUUUCAAUGGCAGACAAUACUCAACACUGUCUGAUAGUAUUUAGUUUUACUACACGGAGCAAAAUGUCGGUGUAGUCCACUCCUUCCUUCUGCUGGAAUCCUUUGACGACAGUCGGGCUUUUGUAUCUUUGUUAGAAACCAUCAUGCUCCUCUUUCACCACGGUAACACCCAUUUGGGGAUUAUGAAGUGCCUUCUCCCCAUGGUAACUCAACUAGUUCCCUGUCCUGGUUGGAGAUUAGAGACUUCAUCUCAUCUUUCAUGGCAAGUUCCCACUUGCUAGCAAUCUCCAAGUCUGACAGUCUUCUCACAUAGCAUUCAGGCCUCUCCUCCAUCGUCACAAUAAAUAUUCAUAUAUCUCCUGUUAGCUGCACACGAUGCGUGAAGACCUUCUCAUAAGGAGCUGGAGUAGGAGGCUGUUGGUGUGUCGGACUGCUGUCGCACUACUCGGUCCAAUUAUUUCCUCCUUAUGCUGAGGCCUUGUGUACAAUCGGCUCCGUCAUGGGACUAUCUUGGGACAUCAUCCUACAUCUGCAAAUGCGGGGGGUCACUCUGCUCUGAGUCGCUGGAGUCGAUUUUAUGUCCUGUCCUUUGUACAUCAUUCUUUCGUUGAAAAUCACACUCUGCUGCGGAUCACCUUCCUUGUUUUCGUCAUCCCAAUGCGGUAGCCAAAUUCAUCUCGCAUAGCCGAUGAAGGUGCAUUUUUAGAUUUGGGAUUCCAAGCUUUCCUUCUGCCUUGAUCACUGAUAUGCACAUAUGCUACACAACCGAAAACUUUUAGAUGUGAUAGUUUUACCCUCUUUUCCGCUCCAUACCUCCUCUGGUAUUCUGUGCUCUAAUGGAACCGAUGGGCCUCGUUUGAUCAAGUAGCUGCUGUGUUGACUGCUUCUGCCCAGAACUGCUUUGGUAGACCUGACUGUAUACGAUGCCCUAGCUUUUUUCUGUCACAGUCGGUUUCCAUACGCUUCAGCUACACAUUGUGUUGAGGCGUAACCCGCAACGGUUUCUCAUCCAUUCUUAUCUCCGUAACUCUAUCAAACUUCUUGAAUCUGUUUCUCAUAUUCACCACCAUUGUCGUUCUGAGCUUUUUUAAUCUUCAGACUUGUCUCCCAUUCCGCAACCAUAAGCUUCCAUCUUUCCCUGAAAAGCUUCAACACACUUCUGCCUAUGCUUUAGAAAGUAACCCAUACCUUUUCGAGAGUGAUCAUCGAUGAAGUCACGAAGUAAGUGGUUUUUUCCACACCAAUGGAUGGAAAUGGUCGUUGGCCCCCCAAACAUCAGCAGUGAAACAAGCUCUAACCUUUCCUCUUUGGGGUUCUGCUCUGGCCCCUUGUCUGAAAGCUAACCCUCUCUCUUCUGCUUGCCAAUAUGGCAAUCCUCACACGUGUCUAUCUCAAUGAUUUUAGACUUGAAGUUUUCCCUUGGAGUGCAUAUUUUGCAUCCCCUUCCAACUCAUAUGGCCUAGUCUCUGUACCACCUAUUGAAUUUUCGUUUCCUGCUGCAACUGUCAAUGAACAGCGCUCCUCCGCUGUCAUGUAAAGAGUACCACUCUUUUUGCCUCGACAACGUCAUGCAACCCUUUGAAAAUCUUCCAGUUUUCACCAUGGAAUAUCGUGUGGUAGCCUUCGCUAGCUACUGCCCACGAGAUUAAGUUCUUUCUCAGGUCGGAAUAUGCCUGACAUCCCUUCAGCUCCCAAACAGAUCCGUUCACUUAAUCUUUACUACAACAUACAAACCUUUAACCGAUAACAGCACAAGCUUGAUCAUCAACCAAGGUAUACAUUUCCAGGUUUUCCGGGGACAUACCCCCACCUCUCUAAGAAUUUCUUUCUACUAGCGAGUAGCGUGGGAAUGAUGCUUCCAUAGUCUAAUACCCAAGACUCUUUUCCUUGCUCUCCAAGAGCAUAUCAACAGCAUCAUCUUUUCCUGAGGUGGAAGUAACAUUUGCCCUGCUUCCGCCUCUUUGGGUCCUUCCUUUACUCCUGCACUGAUUUUGUUGUAAGUGCCCGUCUUCCCACAAUUCCACGACUCGACGUUCUUUCGAGCUAUGGGAAUUAUGGUGGGAUUCCUGGAUUUUGGACCUCCUGUCCUUUGAUCUAACCCUCGGUAAUUAAAUCUCCCAUGUCAUUCCCCUCUGGUUGAUUUUCCUUCCGUCUUGACUCUGUAUGCAAAACUGAAGAGGUGAGGAUUCACCACGACUCUCUCCGUCGGAUCUCUUCACUGAGAACCAUAUCACGAAUAUCGUUAAUUUUAACUUUGCUUCCCGACGAUCUACUCACAAUUCACAGCCGUUACAGUAUCAUUUCCACUUUCUGGGAGAAAGACAAAAGUAUCAAUGCGCGUACUCUUCAUCAACUUCAAUUUCAACUGAACUCAAUUGGGUUGUGACUGUAUUGAGUUUCAUUGAGAUGUUUUGAGCUACCGAUGCCCCUUCCCGUCCAUCCGCAAAUUGAAUAAACCGCCUCAUCACGUGAAACUUUGUUAGAGGCUGAUGGCUUUCUCAUACAACUGGAGAGAGCCGCCAUAAGACCCGCCGUGGUCUUAUUCCUUUGUCUAUGUUUGAAAGCAACAUUGCGAGAUACGUCAAUCGGAUAACUCCUAGGGCUUGUCUGUCAAGAAGAGUCACCAGUCUUCAUCUUUCAUACCCUCUGCUUCUCUUUGAGAGAGUUUGAUAAAGUUUUUGUCUGGUAUAGAUAAUCUUCGCUCUGCAUCUUUCCAGAACCCGAAAUCUGCGCAAAUCGAACUUCCGAGUUUUUCAUCACUUUACUUCGUCUGCAGCCAUCGCUCCGACGCUUCCCACGCAAAAUUGACUUCCUGUUGGAUCGUUUCUGUCGACUGACAGAAUUCACUCACCAAGGCUCUGAACCAGUUGUUGGGAAAUUCCGCAGAUUCCUAUAGUCAAUUAGUGGGAAUGCCGAAAAUAGCGAAAACCCACACACACGUUGAUAACGGAGUUUCGGCAUUGUGCCUACGUCUCCGGACCUGCUGCCGAUCGUUUUUACUAAGGGAGAAAAAAUACAAGUGUUUACACACCGUACAACUCACAACCCACUCUAAGCUUUUCUCUUAAACUCCUCUCUAACUCUCUCAAUUUGAUUGUCUUACAAAAUGAGGGCUAAAGGGUUUAUAUUAGCUUCAAAACCAUUGUUUGGUGAAAUUAGGUAAAGAAAAAAGGGCAAUGGUUAGGCACCUUCCAUUGACAAUUGCCUAAGUAGGCAGCCUACAUUUUUGACCCCCAAAAAUGGUUUGUUGGCCAAAUUUUUUGACUAUCAAUUUUCUUGACACAAUUUAACACAAGCCCUCUUUAAUAAAUUAGCAAUUCAGAUCUGCUAUUAUAACAACGAAGAAAGAAAAAACACUUGGCAAAUAGUAGAGAAAAAGAAACAAACAGAUGGCCUUCAUUGAUUACAUAAUUUACUCACCAAACAAUCGAAUUCUGUGAAGCUCAGAAAAGACAAGAUCGAAGAAACUUACCUAAUUUACACAACACCGAUUGAUUCACGAUCGAUCUCCAUUUGCUUGCUUAUUGGGAAAUGAGGUGUCCAAGUCACAUUGGUUUCAAUUAGAAGCUCCCGAUUUUCCUUCACAGUUUUUUCCUUUAGGCAUCUUAGGAGUGUGUUUAACAUGAAGAGAGAGUAAUUGAGAGGUUGGUUAUUUUAUUUGUGGCAAAGUCUACCAUAAAAUACUUUUGUAUUAUCCUUGAUAAAUUGUGGUGAAUGUUGAUUGUUGUAGUAUUUCUUUUUACGAUCAAGUGUGAUGAUAUUGAGAGUUUGUGAUAAAUUUUAACCGUGACUAUUUCCGAGGGAGUAGAUUUCUCCACUAAUUAAAAUCCACAUUGUUAACUGAGUUCACGUGAUACAUGGAAUAUAUUUAUUUCUUAUUUAAAAGAUAUUGGAUAUCUCAGAAUAAAAUUCAUUUUUAUUGUCCAAUUUGAACUUACUUGAACUAUUUUUUUUUAAACGUAAGAUUAAAUUAUCCAAUUAAACUUGAAAUACAAUAACAAUCCGUGCAGCAAAAUGUAAAUACCCUACGACAAUAGUUUAUCAUAACCGAACCGAUAUUGAAUCGGUCAAAACACCCCGGUUCAAAACGGUUUACUGGUUCAACCACGUUCAACCGGUUCAACCGGAUUUUAUAAUUAAUAAUAAUAAAUUUAUAUUUUUAUAUAAAUAAUAAAAAAACAUAUUUUUUUUACCAUUCAUAGUAAAACAUAAUCAUAGUAAAAAACCUAUUAAAAUUAAAAAUUCAUUUAAAAUUUGGGGUUCAAACCUGUAAAAGUAAAACUUCAUUCAAAAGUUUGGGGUCAAACUGUAAAAAUUAAAAUUUUUAAUUUUUCUGUUAAAAAACCGCUGGUUCAACAGUUAAAAAACUGGCCGUUCGAUAAAAAAUCGGCCGGUUCAAUCGGUUCGCUGCAUUUUCGGUAAAAUAGUUAUAACCGAACCGAUUUAAGUACCCGAUUCCCGUGAACCGUUGAACCGUCGUUCGAUCCGGUUUUAAUAACUAUACCCAAGAGGUUCUAUGAAAUCGGGAUGGAUUUAACUGCCCAAAUCUUUCCUGGUAACUCACGCAUAAUGACUUAUAAAUCUAGGCUGAAUCAAAACUUGGACACUCUGCGGUUGACUUUCCGCUACGCAUUGGACUUCAUUGAUUCCUAUUAUUCCUGAUAAAUUUUAGGUUUCGAUGGAUCCAAUGUUGGCCAGUCUCCAAGAGGUGUUCUUAAUAAUAAAAAAAUUCUUUCUGGUUAGUUGGCAUUUAAUCAUUCUUAACUCCUACGCACUGUCAGGCUAAGAAAAGUCCAAUACUAGACAUCCUCCAACAUUCCUUUCCAUUCGCAUUAAAAAAUUAAAUAAUUUUUUAAUCUCAUUCGUAUCAGUCUCAUUAAAUCUAAGUUAAAUUGUAAUUCAAAAUGACCAAUUUAUUGUAACUAAUUUAUGUUUUUAAUACGAUACUCCUUAAUUUCUCUAUUUAUUCUCACUCUAAUUAAAAAGUAUUUUUUUACUAUUUAUUUUAAUUCAUUCAUUCUCAACGUUUUUUUCUCUAACAAUCAUAAUUUUUUUUAAAACAAUUAUAGUUUUCACGGUCCAUAUUUUUAUGUGGCCUCGCAAAAGAACUACGUAGCUCUAAUGAAUGAUAUCUGAUUGAAAUAAUUAAAUUUAAAGUUAAUUUGAUAUAAUUGUGUGAAAAAAUUUUAAAAAAAGAUAUUUAAUAAACUGUAACAUGUGCAAAUGAUUAUCUUUUAUUUAGCUGAUGGUAGAAUGCUAAAUUUCUGGAUAUUUUGGUCAUCCUGAUGUGGCUGACAUUGAUAGCUUUUGGCUUUAGGGGCUCGUUUGGAUUACGGAUAGUAUUAAGGAGGAUAAUUUAAAGGGGGAUAACUUUUAGAGGGGAUAAAUUUUUGGAAAGGGGAUAAGUUUUAAAAACUUGGUUUGUAUACUUUUUAGAAUGGUGGAUAAUGUGGAAGAAAAGAAGAAAAUAUAUAAGAAAAACAAAAUAGAAAUAUCUAGAUAUUAAAAAAAUAUAUUUAUAAUAUAUAAGAUAUAAUAGAUAUAUAUAUAAAUAACAAUAUAUAUUUUGUUUCUCUCCUCUUUUUUUUUUUCUUAUUCCCCACUACCCCUUAUCCACCCAUCUUUUAGUUGGUUGAGGUCCCUCAAAAAUUAUCCGUUAAAAAAAAAAACAACAUCUCACCUGCUAGGAGAAAAAUUAUCUGGGGGAAAAAUUAUCCGCCUGACAUAACUAUCCAAAGCUGGAUGAAACAAUUAUCCACAGAAAAAAAAUUAUCCUCCUUGCAUCCACUACCCCAACAACCCCGGGGUCUCUUGGAGUGUUGUUUAGAAUGAAGAGAGACUAAUUUGAGGGAGUGAUGGUUGAGAGGUGGUUAUUUUGAGAAGUGGACAAAUGGACCCAAGAGACUUGUUGAAUUGCCCGUGGAUAUUGUAAAAAGGGUGAUAGGGACUUUUUAAUUUUGAAUUCAAGUUUUAAUCAAAUAAUUCAUCGACAGUCAACCAUCUCCCCCUCAAUUCAACAGGUGAGAUAGAAGAAUUGGUACUUGAUUUUCUUGGACUUUAACCACUUUUUUAUUGAUUUAUAAGCAGCUCAAGCUUGGUACUUUAUUACAGUUUUUUGCUUGUGGUCAAAAAUAAUAUUAAAAUUUUGUUUAAAAAAUAUUUUUUUAAAAUUUAUUUUAAUAUUUUUUCAAACUAUUUAUAAAUUUUUUGGGGUGUACUAUAACCGCUUCCUUAUUUUGUUUAUUUUUUGUAAAUGAAAAAAUAAAACAUUGAAAAAAAACUAUGCAGACAUUUUUUAUUUUUUCCUUUUGUACCUAUGGAAAAAAAAAGUACAAAGUACAUUGAGUUUGUUGCUUUAGAAUAUAUUUUUAAAGUCUAGAGAGUCUUCUAAUUUUAGUGUCAAAAUUUCUCUCCAAAUUUUCAGCCGUUUGAUUUUGGUGGCUUGAUUUGCUCACUAGUUUUCAUAUUAUUUUUUUUUGCCUCUCACUAAUGGGACCAACAAAUCACAAUCUCUUUGUUGCCGUGCUCCCGCAUCUAAACGUUACCCAUAUUCGUGUUGGCCCAACCCAUUUACACCUAUAAAUAGAUUUUUGUUAGGUUGUCAAAGCGCUAAAAAUUUCACAUAAGCCAGUUUAAUAUGCUUGAUUAAUUUUAAGAGCCACCGAAAAAGUGAGAUUUUGAAUGGGAAUAAAAGAGACACUUUUCGAUUACACGACAUAAAGAAUGAAGCAAAGUCUAUUAGUGAUCUCAUAUGAAGCAUUCAAUUGAGUUUGAUGAGAAUGAAAAUAAUAGAGUGCAAAAAAAAUAAUAUCGUAAUUUGUUAAUAUGAGGUUAAGUUGAGAUUGAUGAGAAUGAUAAAAAAAUUAUUAUCUUUAGCCUGUGUUAAGAUUGAAGAUUUUACGUGAAAAAAGUUAACAAUUCAAAGCUUAGGAUUUUUGCUUUUAUAGUUUUUUUAAUAAAAUAUCUCUCAGAAUUGUUGGUCUCAAAUCGUUGAAGAAUCGGAGAGAAUCCAGGUCCUCGAGCAUCCGCCUCCAAUCUUCUACUUUUUUUUUUUUUUUUUUAAGGGAAUCAAAUAAAAAUUUAAAUUCAAAAAGUGGAUGUGAGGGAAUUUAUUAUUUAAAAACCUGUAAGGCAGCACCCAUUUUACCCAAGUAAUUGUCUGCCAUAGGCACACACCUCCUUAGGAGCCUCGUUUGUUUGCCGAAUUGAAUAAGGAGUCCCCGGAUAUAAUGUCGGACUAAAUCUAUUGUGUAACCGUUUGUUUUGCUCCGGACAAAACUCUAUAUAAGUGGUAGUUCAGUCUUGUCCCAUGGCGUUUGCUAGGCAAUCGGACUGGACAAAUAAAAGAAAUGAACCAACAUACCCCUUCAUUUAUUAAUUUGGUAAAAAAAAUUUUUUAAAAAAAAACAUUAACCGUUUUCUGAAAAAAAACUUUUUUAAAAAAUAUAAAAUAUAAUUUUAAAAUAUAUAUUUUGAUUAAAAAUUUUAACUUUUUUGUUUUCUCUUAACGAGAUUAAGACUAAAAAAAUUUUGUAAAUUUUUUAUUUAAUUAUAAAAUAAUUUAUAAAAAUUAUGUUUUCUGAAAAAAUAUUAUUUUUAAAAAAAUAACUUUAUUUUGUUUAAAAAAUAAAUUGUUCUCAAUAAAUAUAUUUUCAAAACGAUUUUGUUUAAUAUUUUUUUUUCGAUUAAAUAUUUUUUUAAAAAAUAUUUUUAUAAAAAUAUCAAAAAUAAUACUUUUGAAAUAUAGAUUUCGAUUAAAAUUUUAAACUCUUUUGUUUUCUCUUAACGAGAUAAAUUAAAGAUAUAAAAUUGUUUAUUUAAUUUAAUAAAAUAAUUUAUAAAAUUAUUAUUUCGGAAAAAAUUAUUAUUUUUUAAAAAACUAACUUUAUUUUUUAUAAAAAUAAAUUAUUAUAUUUUUGUAAAAUUGUUCUCAUAAAUAGUAAUUUCAAUAUUUGUUUACUAUAUUUUUUUUGAUUAAAGUGAUUUUAAAAAAAUAUUUUUUUAGAAAACGUUAAUUUUUAACAUAAAAAGCUUGUUUAUCCAAAAAAAAACUGAUAAAAAAAUUAAUUUAAUAGAAUAAAAAUAAAAAAAUUAUUUAAAAAAACUUAUAAAAAAAUAAAAAAUAAAAAAUAAAAAUGAAAGAGAUAGGAGAGAGAGAAAGGGGAGAGAGAGAGGAGAGAGAGAGGGUGGAGAGAGGAAUUUUUCAAUAUAUGUGAGUGCAAAUUAGUAUUUUUACAUAUUGUCGUAGUCCGGGACUAAUUGUCCCACCCCUCACCAUGGGACAGGAUAAUCCCAUAUAUGUGGACUAUUGUCCGUGCGGACUAAUAGUCCGAAGCCAUUUUAGCAAACAAACACGGGACUGGAUUGACUCGUUUCCAGUCCGACUAGUCCGACGUAGUUCGGGCACGCCCUUAGGGAUCAAUAAAUAAUUGGCUGUCACCGAGAUUAAAGAAUGACGAACCAUAUGAGUUAAAUUCUAUAGAAAGAUUUGAAAAAUGUACCUCAACUAAAUCUAGAAAAUGUAAAACAACAUGGCCAGUAACAGAAACCUACCCCAAUUUACAUUUUGGGUAAGUUGUUUUAGUUAUUUUGGGCUUCUCAGUGACAAACUCGUCUUCCUUGUUCUAUGAUAAUAAGUCUGCUAUCAUUUAACUUCGAUCCGUCCUUUCAUGAUAGAACAAAAUACAUUGAAGUGAUAUUCAUCUUUAUCGAAAAAAGUUUGUUUCAGUGUUAUUACUUCCAGUUCUGUUCCAUCUUUGCUCAGACUGCUGAUAUGUUUACUAAGUCCAUUGGCCUUCAUUGCUCAAGUCAUCUUUUACCAAUCUUCUACUUAGCUUGAGGGAGUGUGAAAUUAGAAGAUUUCAUUCUUUAAUUAGUUAGGAAAGUUCUUAAUUAAUUAUUUUAUAAUAGGUCUGUUGAACAAAGGUUUAAUUAGGGAAGAUUUACUUUCUAGUUUUCAUUAUUUGAGUUAUAGUUUGUAUUAUACAUUGAGUUAAAAGUUUAGUAAUAAAUCAAGCUUUUUCCAUAUUUCUUUAAGUCUUCACAAGGGGUAUCUAAAAUACUCCUAUUAUAACGGGAAUUGAUGAUCGGUUAUGAUAUAUCUUUAGGUUCGACUUUGUGAUAAAAAAAGUUUUGAUUUCUUCUGUUAAUCAAUGUGAUGAAUAUUAAUUUGAGCGAGCUAUUUGUAUUAUUUUUUAAAAUUACUAUAACCGCUCUAUUAAAAGUUUUAUCCUUUUAUUUAGUCUCAACUUCUCGUUUUUGUAUUAUUAAGAACCCUCCCCUAUGACCAUUUCACUCUUAACACCUUGAGUUCAAACGGGCUAAAGACAAUAGCAAAAACAUGGGUGAUGUUGUUCUACAGUUUAAUUUUUAUUUUUGUAACACAUAAAGAAAAAACUUGUUUAUAUUGUUAUUUAUAAAUUGUAAAUAAGGCAAAAUAUUUUUACUAUUUUUUAAAAUAGUAAAACAAACAAAAGAUAUUUUUAUUUUGUUAUAAAAAUUUUUCAUCCAAAUUUUCCUACCACCUCCACUCCACCCUUUUUUAAAAUUAGUUAAAAAAAACACGAAUAUAUUUUUGUUUUUGAAUAAUUUAAAAAAGUGAACACAAAAAUUAUUUUACUUUUCUGUUUUAAUAAAAAAACUAAACAAAAAAUAAACCAAAACACAAAAAAAUAAAAAAAAAAUUGAACGUAUCAAACAUAACAUGCUGCCUCUGCGUUCAUCUCACCCCCCUAAAUAACUGCGGCUAAACUAAUAAUCUCACUCUUUCUUUCUACCAUCGAUUAAAGUAAAAAAUUUUACAUUUGAAUAUUGGUGGAUGGGGCAUAUAACCGUUCCCUUAUUUUUUUUUUUUUUUUUUUUUUCUUUAUUUUUGUAAUAAAAAUAAAAAAUUGAAAGAAAAAUUGGGCAGAAAAUAAACUUUUUUUAUGGAAAAAAAAGUAAAAAAUACUCGUUUUUGCUUUCAACAAUAUUUUUAAAAGUUUAUAGAGUUUCUAAUUUAGCGUCAAAGUUUCUUUUCAAAUUUUCAUUCGUUUUGAAAAUUCAUACUUUUUUAGAUUUCACUGAUUUUUUUUGCUUCUCACAAAUAUGGCACCAAACAAAUUAAGAAAAGGGAUUAUUUUUUUCUUCUUCCAUAAACUUUGUGCCUUUGUACCCGAUCUAACUGUACACGUGUUGUACCAAUGGCGGAGCCAGAAAAUUCAUCGGGGGCAACAACCAAAAAAAAAAAAAUUUUAUCACUACUGGUAGUGCUAAAUUUUUUUUUUAAAUCUAGCGGGGCAGUGCCCCCCAUUGGCCUUCAAGUUUCGCCCCUGUCUGUACUGACCCAAACCAGUUUAUACCUGUAGAUUCAGACUGGGGAGUUGCAAUAGCACUAGAAAUUUCACAUAGGCCAAGUCUAAAUCUGGAUUAAUUUUGAAGGAGCACCGAAAGAAAAUAAAAUUUUGAAUGGGAAUAAAAUAACACUUGGAGUAAGCGGAAUAAAAGAAUGGAACAAGGGCUAUUAGGUGAUUCUUAUUAUGAGCACUAAAUGGAGUUUGGUGAGAAAAGAAAAAAAAAUAGAGUACAAAAAUAAUCUAAGUCAUUGUUUAGAUAAGUUAAGACUUAAAGAUGGGACAAAUGAAGAUAAAUAAUGAAAAAAAUAUCGUCUAGUUGUGUAGAUUGAGAUUUGAUGAAGGAAAGAAGAAGAAAAAAAAAAGGGAAAAAUUACAAUUCAAGCUUCAAAUUUAAUGUUUUUGGUUACUUUAUUUUUCCAAAUACAAAUAUUUCCCUUAGAUCAAUACAUCGUUGAAAGAACUAGAAGAAUUCAGCCUCCUUAACCUUAAGAGCAUCUAUCCAAUCUUCUACUUAGAAGAUCAAAAUAAUUUUUUUAAUCCAAAAAGUGGAUGUGAAGGACUUGUGAUUUAAACUGGUAGAGGCAGAAACCAUUUUUAACUAGCAACAACUUAGAGAUCAAAUAAAUAUGCUUCACCAAUAUUUAAAGAUAAUGAACAAAGUGUAUCUUUGCGACCCUUUAAAUUUGAUAGAAAUAUUGAAAAAAAGUACCUUCAACUAAAUCGCAGAAACUUAGUUAAACACAAGUGCCAGCAAUAGAAAAAACUGGUCCGUUUGGGUAAGUUUGUUUUAGUUGUUUUAGUUUUUACGUUUUUAUGAACUGUUUCACCAUUUGAUCAAAAUUUUAUCAAUUGUGCGCGUCUAAAAUUUUAAAUUUUUUUUAUUCUAAUUUGGAAAAAAAAUCAUAUUUUUUUCUUUUGUGGAUUUUUGAAAUUAAAUAAUUAUUUUUUUUAUUAUUUAGACUCGUGCCGUUAAGAGAAAACGGGAAGUAUAAAAAAAUUUUUUAAUCAAUGAUAUAAAAGUUUUCUAAAGAUGGGGAAACCUCAAAAACAAAGCAGCCAAAAAAAUCAAUUAAAAACAUUUUCUAAAAAGUCUCUAUAUUGUUCAUUUUAAAGUUGCAAAUAACCCUCUUGGAAUACUCGUAAAAUAUUCUAUUACGAUUAGAAAACAAUAGUAAAAACUUCAAAUUCAAGGUUAUUCAAUUAAAAGCGAUAUACCUCAAUUAGAACACAAGUCACGUUGCAACAGAAUCCACAUCCAUGGUUAAAUCAAAAACUCACGUGGAGAUUUGGAGGAGUUUCUUUACAUAAUCUUUUGCUUUUUUUUUUCUGUCCAAUUUCAAAAUCCACCAAAAAUUACAAACAUAAACAAGCUAUGGAGGCUUCGGUAAAUACAUGUCCAUUGAGCCUAAACUCAGGAAACUGACAAGGACUAGACCCUGUAUUACAUCGAUGCCUAUUCGAGUUCACCGGAGAGUCUCUUCUUUUCGAAGAUAAACAAAUAAAUUCUAUGAAUAUUCAGUACAGAAUAACAUUUGACGAUAACAAAGGUUGUAUUGACUUGAUUCUCUGGCAUGCCUAUUUAUAGGAGAAUAUGUUCCCUCCAAAACUUCUCCCUCCCAUAGUUUCCUGUAACGACCAACAUUAAGAUGGUUCACCGGUCACCUCAAAAGAGUCCACGUCACAUCACAAAAGCAUAUGAUGAAGUUAAUUCCAUGUAUCUAGGAGGUCGUCGUAUAAAUACCACCUAAUCCCAAACCCGCCCCACCUAUGUGGCAGUGGGUUCUCACAUUACUUAUGUCCGGAGACUACCUGAUUCUGAGAUGCAAGUUAUCCGUCAUUAUCUGCUUGCACGAACUUGUCCAUGCUUCUUUCAUCUGGAAAUUACCACCUGUCAUGUUUUCGACAGUUACUAAAAUUAGUGUAAACAGUACACAUGCCUAAUUGCUAUAUCAGAAAACUAUAAUAUAAUACAGUUGCAUAUGUAUCAAUCUUAGCUGACUCAAGUGGCAUACGAAAUUUCUAUUGAAGGCAGUGUGGACCCAACAGCCAAUUUAUUUAUGGGACUUGCGUCAUCAACUGCAAGUCAGCAGAGUGCUCUGCUCCUUUUUUUGCUACCAAACCUGAUAUGCCCUCUAUUUAUGAAAAUGCCGAAAAUUCAUGGAAACAUAUUCACAUCCUAAUAUCUACUUCUUUUUGGUGGCGAACUAUAUUUAAAACCACGAAAGAAAACAACACUGGAAAUAAAAGACGAGAGUACAGACUUGAGAGCAAACCAAAUUCUGCCAAGACGGUAUUUCAUUGACCCCAUCCUUCAGGAGCAUCAGGACAAAUUAACCAUAUCUAGAAGAGGCUCUUUUUAGGAAAUAAAGGCAUUUCUCUACGAUGAAAUGGUGAUACCCACAUCAGCAGAACGAUUGGACCACAAAGGGGGCGUGUUUACCCCGCCCAACUACAUUGUCAAAAAAACAACCCCCCAACGAAAUGAGAAUAGAGAUUAAAUCCCGUGAUUUUGUCUCUAUUGUUAACCCUUUAACACCAUAUAGCAAGGAAGGACAAAAUUGGCAUGUUAAAUCACAAACCCGAACCAUACAUUAUAAAUGCAUGCAAUGGCGCCAAGCAGCACAAUUAUACAUUUCAAACACCUAGUGCUCGUAGGAUUAUGACUUUCAGAAACAGUAAUUUCUCCAAUUUUAACAACGUCCAAUGCUAUUUCAGCAUUAAUAUACAAAUAUAAUUUCCAGUUCCAUCCUUAUCAUUAUAUGAAGAAAGGAUAAAUGCAUUAGCAUAGUGUUAUCUGUAGUUCUCAAUUGCCACCGUGAUCAAUGUUAUUUCAGCAUUUUAUUCAUAUGAAUAUAGUUUCCAGUCCCACCAUACUCAUUACUCCAGUCUAUAUUCAUGUUUCAACCGUUGGGACUAAAUUGAAAUUGGCUUAUGAAACAAAAGUUACCAAACCUUGUUGUAGGCACAGAGGCAGCUGCAUAAUGUCCUCCUGUGGAUCGUCAGGGGCACCAAACUUGAUUUCAUAUUCCUGCGUCUCCUGACGAUGCAAAGGAACGCUGCAAGCACUCACCACAUCAUCCUAGACAGCCGAUCAGCUCCUCGAAAGAAACAAACACAAUUCUGCAGUACUGCAAAACAACCUCAAACAGUUAGGCGCUAUUUCCCUAUCAGAUGUUGAUCAAUUACCCGUUGCAAUGUUUUUCUUUUGAAUGCAGCUCUUGAACCAUUGCACCAGAUCUUCUGAUCCUGUUAAGUGAUGACACAAUGGCUCUCUACGGACAAAUUACUUCCAACAAAAAUACCACCCGAGAUGAGACACUCAGAUUGGUCGUUAGGUGACUGCACAGUUAGUACUCGGAUCCAGGUACCUGAGAGUUUCCAUGAAACACUUUAGGUGACAAUAGUUCUUGUACUUUGUUAAGUUUAAAUCAUAUACUUCAAUCUGAACUUUUGGAACCCACUUCUCAAUCAGCAAAAUAAUGGUGGACUUCAAGUUCCCAUGAAUGCUUGCACUCCUUAGAAUUUAGUAGGAGGAUUGUAUCCUCGCGGGCAGCACCGAGGACCAGAUCUCAAGCCAGCGUUUCCACGGAAAAGGAUCUUUACCUGCUCCAUAGAGGUGACGACUGAGGUUUCACUACACCAGAACUUUUACACGAACAAUUGUUCAUUGGAUCUUUGCAGUGAUGAUUUUUUUUUUUUUUUUCGAAGAACCAUGUGGAGAUGAUGGAACCGAGUGCACAUUUCACCCUCUGCAAGAAACAUGUCAUCUGCUGCUAGGGUGACCUUUCGAAAGCAACUGAAAGUUUCCGUUGUCAUGUAGCACAGUACAUCUUCCCAUCGGGACCGCCAUUACUUGAUAACAGAUUUCAGUGGAGUUGUUGUGGAAGCUCGGACUUCAGAAGGGAGAAACGUCGGCAGGGCAGUACAGUACUGGUGGAAGGUGAGAAUUGGAUUAGUACUGUCUGGUAAGACGGUUAAGUUUUCCACGUUGUUGGCUUGGAUUUACCCACACAUGAGAUUCACCACCAGCAUCAUUGACCCUUGUCUUUCUCAUUCAAGAUUCAUACCUUGGCAAUACUUAAACCAUUUUGGUUAUAGUUUUCUUUCUUGGCUUUUUCCUUGGGCAUAUCAGGAAACUUUCUUGCACAGAUAGAGUAGAGCCUAUAGGUUCCUCAGUGUACUUGCUCAGCAAUUUGGUUGUUAUUAGUAGUCCCUCUACAUAAACAACUAUUCCUAUUACUCCGAAAGCGUCAAUAGAAUGCUAACAACCAUACAAACAUUAACCGCGCUUCUGUCAGUAGAAGCUAUUGCACCAAGUAUAGUGAAGCCAAUGCAAACUCAAGCCUCUGCACAACCAUUGACAUUCUGACUGUUCAUUGGACGCAAUGCAAGGUGUUAGCAACUUCUGACAAAGACUUUUAAGUCAAUGUGGCGAAAAUAUUUCUCCAUUGAUACUGGGGUCGAUGAUCUAAUCAAGUUGCCCUUUGAUUGUGACAUUGUGCCCAGAGCGAUAGGUGCCGGUCCUCCCCUCAAAUCUUUUAUCAACUGCUGGUGUUCCACACAGUAGUUCGAACAAUACCCACUCCAAAGGGAUAAACGUCAGAAUCCAGUCGGUCUAUGCGUUCAAGAAAUAUUCCGCGUCAAAAACACGAAUGUGCUAUAACUUCCGUGAUGACAUAGGUGCUGGGACUGGUUUGUGGUGUUGCGCCCAUUUGGACGCCAGAAGUCGAAAUCUAUUGGACACCUCUACCUUCCAAUCACUUUCAACUUCUAUUGGCACUCUCACUGUCAACUCUCACUACUAACACCAAACAUUACCAUCUACCUACAACUUUCAUCUUUUAUCGACACAAUUUAAGUCGCACUACAACUAUCUUAUUGUGCAGCUCUUGUGAUGGUGGAGGGUGUCGUAACCAUUAACUUAGAGGUGAAUUUAAAUGGAAUAGUAGAGCUUGUGGUAGUGGUGGAGGGUUUUAAUGAAAAUGAAAGCGAUAUCAGUAUAGUGGUGGACUAUGUCCUAUUUGGAGAGACAAGGAUCAAUAAGGUCACAAUGGGCAUUUAGAUACAUAUUUUUUUCUUAAAAUUAAAAAUUAAGACUAAAUGCCACAUCUAAUAAUAACACCAAGGUCCAAGGGAGUGUAGUGUGAUUUUUAGAGAAAAAAGGGGUGACAGUGUGAUUUUUAAUAACAACUACUAAGGGGUGUCACUAACAUUUACCCUUAUAUAAAUUGUAAAAAUUUGAAUAGGCCGAAUUAUAAUAGCCUAGCCAUCACAGUCUAUUGAUUGUGUAUUUUACACUUUGAACCAUAGUUAUCAUACGAUCGAUGCUUGAAUCUGUCAGCACGGUCACACGGUCAUAUAAUUAAUAAAUAAUAAAAAAAUAUAUUUAAUUAAAAAUGGUAAUUUAAAAAAUAUUUAUAAUUUAUAUAAAAUUUAUUCCGCUGUUUUCUCCAUGUCCUUUCUCUUCCCUAACAACCACACCAACACAUUUGUCCUUCUCAUGUGCUUGGCAGUCCAUGUGCAGGCAGUGUCAAUACGAUCUACUCCUCCCAAAGUCCAAAAACCAAGCCACCCCAAAACCAAAGCUCCACUCUCUCUCUCUCCUUUCAUCACGUUCUUUUUGAGAGGAGGAAAUGCACAGGGCCACAAGUUUCGAGAAGACAGACUCGGAAGGUGACGAGUCUAGCAAUUCGCGACGCCCUCGUCGCCGCCACGGAGCUGGCAUACUAGUGUAGAGUCUAUCACGGACUCGCACGAUGACGAUAAAACGAUGACGACGGCGUCGUCCCCACCAACGGUUUGAGCCCAGGCAGGGUCCGCUACUUGCACUCUCACUACUCUUCCACGCGUUGGCCUCCACUCCCUCGGAGUCUCCUCCAGCUAUUCUCUAUCGUAUCUCUCUCAAGCCGCCGCCCGCCGGAAAACAAUUUAAAACUGUCCGGUUCAACGAUUUUUUCAAAACACAAACAGACGGUUCUCCCGAUUUAAAGCGGUUCACCAUACAUUUCGGUAAAAAAUAAAACCAAACCGGUUUGAGCUCCGGUUCCUGGAAACGGUUCAACCGUAUGGUUCGGUCGGUUCUGAUAACUAUACUUUGACCAUUUAAACAGUCAAAACCAACUAUUUAUGGGACUAAGGUGAACUCCAAGAGAUUGACUAGUUUCAAUACACAAUAGGUAAGUUAGUAUUGGAACGAGGAUUUCUGAACUAAGGGCAGCAUGAACCACAAUAGGUAAAUUUAUAAUGAUUUUUUUUUAUGAGAUUUUUAACAACCAAUAAACAUUCAUUAAUUCUAUCAAUUAAUUUUUAACAACUGGACAUUCAAACGUGCCACCUCCAAAAAGACAGUAGGACUUCCUAAUUACUCUUACUGUAGGAAAAUCCUCAUUGUUUAAAUUUAAUGCUUUCAACAUUGAAUAUCAAGUCAUAAAAUUACUAAUUCCAACGCUGAUGCGGUUACUCCCACUGCUCAUAAACCAUCAUUGAAAUAAUUUUUCUUAAACAGUAAAAUAUUUUAGUUAUAAAAUUUUAAUAUUUUUCACCAUCAACCACUACCUCACAAUUUAUAUUGUUUAAUAUUUAUGAACAAUGAAUAUGUUGUUUGUAAAAUUUACUAUUUUCAACAUUAUCAUAGCUUCUACUUCUACUACUACUACCGUUGUUGCAUAAUGCAAAAAAGAAUUUUUACUAUUUCUCAAUUUCCCCACAUCUGUCCGUUUCAUAUAUAAAACAGUUGCUUGGGGUCAUCAUGCCCAAUAAACAAACAAUCAAUGAUUUGGCAGGAUGAGACAGCCUUCUUAUUUACCAUGUACUGCACGAGGCCCAAUUUUGAAUAAAUAAAUGAUUUUUUUAAAUUAUUUUUUAAUUUUAGUGGAUUUAUUUAGAUUCUGGUAUAUUUUUUUUAACUAUUUCAAAUCAAUCUUGAUUAAAUUAAGUAGGUCAAGUUAAAAAUAAUAAUUUCUUUUACAGAUAAGACACUACCCGGAUUAGUUUUAAGGUUGACUCUUUUUUUUUUGACAUUUACAAAAAAAAAUCAUUCCACCAAUUCGGGUUUCCUAAAAACAGCUACCAAAUUCAAGCUCCCAUCAUUCCUCCUUUGUUAGAGAGAGAGAGAGAGGACACUAAAAUUCUCUCACAGCUAUUGCUAGAGUUACAAUUGGGGGCCGGGCUGGAUUUACCCGCCCGCUAUAAAUCACGGGCCCAACGUCACGGAUCGGACAGCCUCAACAACCCGCUACAGUACAGUCCGGGCCUUGCCCAGACCGUUAGUCCACAGCUCUACCCCAGCCCGACCCAUAAGCCCGAACUGCUACAAGUAGCGGUGCUACGUACCAUCCGAGUGUUGGCCCAACCUUUUUUUAUUUAUUAGUUUACUUCUUUUUUUUACGUUUUACUUUUUUAUAAAACCACUCAUAACAAAGCAAGAUACAAUGUUGAAACUAAACUUAUUUAUUAAAUUAUUGUAUCAAAUACAGUAUUGAAAAUUAAACAAUGAAAAGUUACAAAAAUUAAAAGUGGAGAUUUGUAUCACUAUAGUUACGUACAAUCCCAAGCUAGGUUGGCACCCACUUAACCUAUUCAUUUGCAUUAGUCAUUCUUUCAUUACAAAGUUAUAAUGUAAAAAGUUUUAAAAAAAUCGACUAAUUAUUGUCUUCGGUUGCUUCUUCGUCGUUCGCUAGAUCCAUAUUUUGAAAGGAUCAAGGACAUUAUUCUCUUCUGUUAAACUCGUGUUGAAUUCUAUACUUUGCAUCAAUCCCAAUCUUUAAUACAAAUUUGGCACUCCAAUAUCUUCUCUGGACUUAACGAGCUUCUUCUUUUCUUUCAUUUGUUCGAUUACUACUUCACUAAAAGCUGCCUAAAGCUGCCUCCGAUGUCACAGUUAAUCCGUAGGGGUUAGUAAUCACGUGCCAUGAUGGAAGAGUAUCGAAAAAUUCCGUGUGUGGUCUCUCCACCAUGCCAAAAUAUUAUCUUUUUCAGUUUCCUGUUAAAAAAACACUAAAACUCUGUGUCUAAAUAUUUAAAAGUUCAUUACAUAUGAAACACUAAGUGCUUUGCCACUCAUAAUUAGCGAUUGCCAUUCCCCAGGUUUCUUACUUCGUAUUGCCCUAGUUUGAAGUAGAAAUGUAAAGUGUUGGUCGAAGGCGUGCUUGUAGAAUAUUUUCAGUUCGUAUGAAUUAUAUAGAUUAGUUAAACGCUAAUUUAACGUCAUUAACCAAACCUACCGGUGAUGAUAUGCACUUAUAAUUCAUUAAAGUAUAAUAAAUAUUGUACACCUUUUAUGUGAAGCCUAGGGUCCAUUCAAAUGCUAAAGAAAAUAAUAUAGCAAAUUUUGCCAAUAUUUUUUGAAUUUAAUUUCCAUAACCACACAAGCGUCGAUAAAAAAUAGGAUUGUUUCUAUGGUCUUGAAAAGUUUGAGGCAAUGUUAUAUAUGUGUGAGAUUAAUAAGUUGAAAUUGGGAUAUAGACAGGCCGAACAUUCUUUUAGUUGCGAUAUAAAAAACUUCUAAAACUUACAAAUGGCACACACACAUCCCAAUCAUCUGGAAUAUCAUGUUAAUAAUUGAUUUUGUUGUACAUAAAAACUAAUAAUGUCUUCAAUUUUAUUAGUUGUUGUAGCUAUAAGAUAGUUGUGUUCCAACGGUGAACAGUGUCUAAUGAAAUCUCCUCAUUUUGACCAUGUGCUUUACAAAUUUUUUUAAAAUCUUGUAUCGGAUAUGUAGAAAGAUCUAAUAUUAGGAUGACAUCUUUAAUUUUUUUAAUUUUUUUGUCAAAAAAUUUUAAUCCAUCCUAACAUUUAAUUUGUAUAAUAUGACAAACACAUCGGAUGUGAUUAUAAAUCGUUACCGUACCUACAGGAGUUUUUAAUUGACGAUUAAAAUAGUUCAUGCAAAGCGGUGUUAUUAGUUCGCAUUAUCAAAAAUAUGCUAAAAAUAUUAUUUUUGAAUACUAACUAAAUUCCUUGUAAAACAUUCAUAAUAUGAAAAAAAUAUUUUGGGCAUUAAUGUGGUAUUCAAUAUUUGCGAAAAUCAAAAAUUCCUUUUUUGUAGCUUCCAAGAGGAAUGCAAUGUAAUGAGUACGAAAAUUUUCUUUUCUGACUCCUAUUCCCCCCUUCCAGUUGAUUUCUACCUUUUCACCUACCUCACACCUAACCUUUUCACAUAUCAGAAGUGCAAGAUAUCUACAUUUUUGUGUACGUAGUUCAUUAUUAAUAGAUUUUUUUGAUUUAAAAAGUUGAAGCAAUCGCUUCUAAUUGUAGUCCUAGAAAAAACGUGACCGAAUUUAGAAUUUACAUCAUUUUGUGACAACUUUCAAAUCUCGAUCAGCUCUGAAUGUACAAAGUUGUUCCGCAGCGGCCGUGUAAAUGGCUAUUCCCUUCUCUCCUUCUAAUAUUGAAAUAAGAGAAAUUACCAUUCCCCCCCCUUUCAUCAAGUUAUUUGCAAUUGUGAUCCCUACAUUGCUAUCAUUUUUUAUCAAAAAUUUAACAAACACAGCGUGUCUCUUUGGUGGCCUCGUGCCAUUGCCCGAGCCUAUAAUAUUUUUUCGCAAUAUUUACAACUAGUUUUAGCAACUUCUUUUCUUGCUCAAUGACCUUGGAAUUUUGUUUAAAAUGUUGGGCCAAACGUAGAUCUUAAUUUUUCUAACCAUGGUCUAGAUGUGGGUGUGUCGGCUCCGGUGGAGGGGCCAAUCGAUUAUUUUUAGGGCCAUUCUACCAAUAUCUCAAUAGAGACUUCAAAGUCAUCGUAUUCAGCCUCGUCCAUAUUUGUGUUUAUAAUCACAGAUCCAUUUUUUAAUAAAUAAAAUUGUGAUAAGAAAAUAACAAUGAUAAAAAAUUAUUGAUGCUAAGAUAAACCUCCAAAAUCCGAAGCGCUUGAAAUUCGUAUUCAACACUUCCUGCAAACACUUUUUCAACACUUGAAAAUGCCGAGAGUCGAAAAACUAGAGGCGUAUUGAGAGCGAUUGAGAGAGUUGUUGGAGAAGUACUGAAUUAAGUAAGAAUUGAGUGAGGAAAAUUAUUGAGGAUUAGAGAUAUUUAUAAAAACUUUGUAGGCUAAUUAGACCAAUAUCCAAAAAAACUAGCCGUUUAUGUUUGUUAGAAUGGGUAAAAGAUAAUUUUAUAUAUCAAUUGCCGUUAUAUAGCUGUUGGGAGGGGUAAAAAAAGUCAAAACAAAUUCAAAAAGUAUCAAAUAAAGUUCCAUUCGGCGUGACAUCACAUCAGAUACUAACACGUGUUCUAUGUGUUUAUAUAUUAGAUAUUUAUAUUUAUUAAACGAAUGAGCGACUGGUGCGGUGGUGGCUUGAGUUCCCUUAGAGUCUUGGUGGUCACAGUCGUAAGUUCGAAACCAUAGCCUUUCUUUUCCAGAUUUUUUUUGGUUUUUUUAACUAUGAAAUAAGUCUUUAUACAAGUAAAUGGAUUGGUAGUUCAAGUGUUGAUUGUGGAGUGGGGUCGCAAGAUUCGAACUCGUUAAGAGCACAAAUUUUAAAUUUUUGCUACAGUAAUGGGCACGGGCGGGUCGGGUUCACGGGUUGGGCUGGGCUGAGUUGCGGUAUGCAGGACGGUUCGGGCCCCUCACAGGUUUAAAUGGGCGGAUUAUUAAACGGGCCGGGCUCCCUAACCGGUUUGUAUUUGAAUAAGUCUUUGUAUCGUGUUUAUCCUAACGAUUUAGGAGUUUGUUAGCGCUAAGCCAAAUCUAUAGGAGUUUUGUUCCGAUUUGUGUGCUUCAAUUAUCAUUAGUUCCUAAAAUUGUGUAAAGCUAGUUCAAGUUAGUUCAAGAUUCAUUAUUUAAGAUGUCGAGUAUAUGAAUAAAAUUUCCGCCAAUUAUCUUCUGAGUUUUUUAUCAUUUCUUUCUCAACAGUGGUUAUCAGCGCCAUAUGAUCUAGAGCGAAACAAACAUAGUAUAAGAAGAAAUUGGUUUGAGAAAUAAAUGUGGAAGUGCUCCAUGAAGAAAUUUACGGAGAGAAGUGCUCUAUGAGAAAAUUUAUGGGGAGAAGUGCCCAUGGAAUUUACGGAGAGAAUUGCCCAUGUGAUUGAGAAGUCUGGAGAGAAUUGCUCUAUGAGAAAUUUACGGAGAAAAGUGGCUUGCUCUAUAAAUUGAGGAUCUGGAGCGUGUAAUCCAAUUCAAUUUAAUUAGUUUAAUUUUUUUUAAAAUUUGUGUUAAGUUUUUCCUAAACCUGAUUUCUUGCAGAUAUCAGUUUAAGGAGGGUGUUAAGAGUUGAAUUUGUAUUUGAUAAGUCUUUGUUUUUGUGUUUUUAUCCACUAUUAGGAGUUUGUUAUCUAAGCAAGUUUAUAGGAGUUUGUUCCUAUUUGUGUGUUUUAAUUAUCAGUUAGUUCCUAAAUUAUGUGCCCAGCUAGUUCAAGUCUAGUUCAAG